UGGCUCAGUUGGUAGCGCAUGGUGUUUGCAACGCCAGGGUUGUGGGUUCGAUUCCCAC
rfam:Salmo salar isolate Sally breed double haploid chromosome ssa08, whole genome shotgun sequence.